GUCCAGGGAUGGGAAUCGAACCCACAAUGUUCCGCUUACCGGGCAGAUGUCAUGUCCACUAGGCUACCCUGGA